UACGAAGGGGGCUAGCGUUGCUCGGAAUCACUGGGCGUAAAGGGUGCGUAGGCGGGUCUUUAAGUCAGGGGUGAAAUCCUGGAGCUCAACUCCAGAACUGCCUUUGAUACUGAAGAUCUUGAGUUCGGGAGAGGUGAGUGGAACUGCGAGUGUAGAGGUGAAAUUCGUAGAUAUUCGCAAGAACACCAGUGGCGAAGGCGGCUCACUGGCCCGGUACUGACGCUGAUGCGCGAAAGCCAGGGGAGCAAACGGG
rnacentral:rRNA from 1 species